CAUGGUUCGAAAUUGAAAGGCGGCUUCGGCUGUCACUUAUGGAUGGACCCGCGUCGCAUUAGCUAGUUGGUGAGGUAACGGCUCACCAAGGCAACGAUGCGUAGCCGACCUGAGAGGGUGAUCGGCCACACUGGGACUGAGACACGGCCCAGACUCCUACGGGAGGCAGCAGUAGGGAAUCUUCCGCAAUGGACGAAAGUCUGACGGAGCAACGCCGCGUGAGUGAUGAAGGCUUUCGGGUCGUAAAACUCUGUUGUUAGGGAAGAACAAGUGCUAGUUGAAUAAGCUGGCACCUUGACGGUACCUAACCAGAAAGCCACGGCUAACUACGUGCCAGCAGCCGCGGUAAUACGUAGGUGGCAAGCGUUAUCCGGAAUUAUUGGGCGUAAAGCGCGCGCAGGUGGUUUCUUAAGUCUGAUGUGAAAGCCCACGGCUCAACCGUGGAGGGUCAUUGGAAACUGGGAGACUUGAGUGCAGAAGAGGAAAGUGGAAUUCCAUGUGUAGCGGUGAAAUGCGUAG
rnacentral:rRNA from 1 species